AUUGAACGCUGGCGGCAGGCCUAACACAUGCAAGUCGAACGAGUGGCGGACGGGUGAGUAAUGUCUGGGAAACUGCCUGAUGGAGGGGGAUAACUACUGGAAACGGUAGCUAAUACCGCAUACCAUCGGAUGUGCCCAGAUGGGAUUAGCUAGUAGGUGUGGUAAAGGCGUACCUAGGCGAAGAUCACUAGCUGGUCUGAGAGGAUGACCAGCCCCAGUGGCACGUGGACGCGGUCCCGACUCCUACGGGAGGCAGCAUUGGUGACUCUUUCACACUGGGCGCAAGCCUGAUGCAGCCAUUCCGCGUGUAUGCAGACGGCCUUCGGGUUGUGAAGUACUUUCAGCGGGGAGGCGUUACCCGCAGAAGAAGCCCCGGCUAACUCCGUGCCAGCAGCCGCGGUAAUAC
rnacentral:rRNA from 1 species